rnacentral:rRNA from 1 species
GACGAACGCUGGCGGCGUGCUUAACACAUGCAAGUCGAACGGAAAGGCCCUGCUUUUGUGGGGUGCUCGAGUGGCGAACGGGUGAGUAACACGUGAGUAACCUGCCCUUGACUUUGGGAUAACUUCAGGAAACUGGGGCUAAUACCGGAUAGGAGCUCCUGCUGCAUGGUGGGGGUUGGAAAGUUUCGGCGGUUGGGGAUGGACUCGCGGCUUAUCAGCUUGUUGGUGGGGUAGUGGCUUACCAAGGCUUUGACGGGUAGCCGGCCUGAGAGGGUGACCGGCCACAUUGGGACUGAGAUACGGCCCAGACUCCUACGGGAGGCAGCAGUGGGGAAUAUUGUACAAUGGGCGGAAGCCUGAUGCAGCAACGCCGCGUGCGGGAUGACGGCCUUCGGGUUGUAAACCGCUUUCGCCUGUGACGAAGCGUGAGUGGCGGUAAUGGGUAAAGAAGCACCGGCUAACUACGUG